rnacentral:rRNA from 1 species
CCUACGGGAGGCUGCAGUUUCGAAUCAUUCACAAUGGGCGAAAGCCUGAUGGUGCGACGCCGCGUGAGGGAUGAAGGUCUUCGGAUUGUAAACCUCUGUCACCGGGGAAGAAACGCUAUAUAUGAAUAUUAUGUAGCCUGACUUAACCCGGAGAGGAAGCAGUGGCUAACUCUGUGCCAGCAGCCGCGGUAAUACAGAGACUGCAAGCGUUAUUCGGAUUCACUGGGCGUAAAGGGUGCGCAGGCGGCCGGGUGUGUCAGGUGUGAAAUCUCGAG